GUUUUGAUUUGACGGUGUCUUUAGCUUUUCAUCAGAGCCCUUUUAUAAAACUUUUUCUGAAACUCAAACAGCAACAUCAGCACAGAUUUCGGAGUUGCGUCGAUGUUUCCUCUUUCCUGCUCAUCACAAGAUUCAGAUGGAGUGGAGAAAGAAAAUCACACAUCCAGAAAACUGCUGGAGCCUCAGAAAUCACAGAGCAGCAGAAAACAAGAAGACAGAGAGAAAAAUGGAGACACAAACCAGUGGAUCACAAGAGAAAAGAGGACAGAGACUUGUUAGAUGUGAGAGUAUGGAGAGAGUAAGGCCAAGCUUGUCAUGUGAUCCAGAUGAUCCUGUAAAUAUUCAUUCUGAUGUCAAAACUGAGGAGAGAUUCUCUCAUCAAAACCCUUCAUCAGGUUUUCAAGAUCACACAACAUCAGAUACAAGCAGCUGAAGACUAGAACAUCAUCAUCAUCAUCACAGACUACACCCAUCUCCUGCAUUCUGGAAGCUUUUACAAACUAAUGACCAAAAAAAAAAAAAAAAACUACUAAAACAGUUUUCACUACACCAUUUUCAGCUAAAAACAUAAAACUUUUUAAUGCGUUUUGGGUGCCUGAAAAUGCAAACUUUUGAAAACGAGUUUCAGAGUGUAAAUUUUUGAAAAGAAUAUCGUUAUCGCCUCAGUGUCAACUACAAAAACAUGAAUAUGUGAAAACGUUGACGUCAUGUACAUGUGUAUUGCGCGUUCAGUCUAUACGCGAGUAGUUUUCUUUACAAAGUGACAUUGCCAUCUACUGGCCUGGCAGCAGAAUACAGCGAUUUUAGUUGUUUCCGUGGAUUGUUUUGAUAAUGUUGUCUGUUAUAUGAAAAACGCAAAGGAAAAACGUUUAAUGGACAGUUUCUUCCUCAGAUCAGUGUCUUCAUCCUGCUCAGAUGCUGCACUUUACUGACACACCAGUGUUUGAUAGUGAACACUUGAACAUGCUUUAUAUAAGAUAGAGAAACACUCUGAACAGACGGCUGGUCCACUGUAGAGAAACACACAUUUAUACCUUUAUGUCUUCAGUUCACUGGAGAACUAACUGUUUUUAUGCGUUUCUAGUCAUGAAGUGAGCAAGAUAUAUAUAUAUGCGACACCUCUCAGCCUAUCGUGUCACCGUUCAAAACUCCUCCCUGUGUACCACCAAUUCGUACCGCCUGUCCCGCCAGUUAGCAUUAGCCAUUAUGCUUUUUUGGCUAAAGGUUGCAGGCUUGCCUUCCAGUGGCUUUGACAUUACGGCACAUUUGCUUCAACUGCUUCAGUGUUUCACAAAGGCUCGAUCUGCCCAUCACUAUUCAUAAUACUGAUAAUCACCAUAGUUCAAGAGCUGGGCAGAGGGAAAUCUGCUGGGCUGAUGAAAAACCAGGUGAGCUUCUCCAAGCUGGAAUUAAACCCCUUUCCCGCCAUCUCCAUCAACUCACUGUGACUCAAACAUCAUCAGCACCCUGUUGAGAGCAGCGCCCUCUGGUGGAGAUCAAGAACACUCCAACUGCGGGAUGUAACAAUAGGACAAAUUAAAUAGAAUUAGAUAUUUUUCAGAAUUACUUUUUACAGUUAAUUGCACUAUAAUGAAUAUGUACUACCAAGAAUUACACUUCUUGAUAUCCUUCCCCUUUGUGUGAUCAGUGUCGAUCUCAUCUGAACAUGUUUCAGGUCAAUUCCAAAUCAAGCAGCUUAUAAUCAAUGCGGCGAAUUAGUGUGGGUUUUUAUUUCAAGAACUUGAAUAUGAAGUGAAAUCCGUGUGAAUUCACUAAAUCCUGGAUUACACAAUUAAUUAGCUCCUGAGCAAUGUGAUAAAGCUGCGGAGGCAAAACUCUGAUGCUUUUUGGGUAACAGCCACUAGGUGGCGCUUUGGUAGUCAUAUAUACUAGCUUAUUUAAUUUUUAUUAAUUUGUUCAUUUAAAUAUCAUUUUGUUGUAAUAUUGUUAAUUGUUUAUUUCUUUGAGUGUGUGCUCUCUAUAGGUGAGAGAAAAAAUGUUUAAAGGAUAUGCCACCCCUGACAGGAGGGGGCGCUGGUGCAAGAGCAUACAGUUUUUUGACCGUACACAUGGAGCAAACCUGAA